rnacentral:rRNA from 1 species
UACGGAGGGUGCGAGCGUUGUCCGGAAUCACUGGGCGUAAAGGGCGCGUAGGUGGCUUGGCAAGCGUGUGGUGAAAGCCCGGGGCUCAACCCCGGGUCUGCCGUGCGAACUGCUAUGGCUUGAGCACUGUAGAGGCAGGUAGAAUUCCGGGUGUAGCGGUGGAAUGCGUAGAGAUCCGGAAGAAUACCGGUGGCGAAGGCGGCCUGCUGGGCAGUGGCUGACACUGAGGCGCGACAGCGUGGGAGCAAACAGG